GGUGCGAAUAAUCGAGAAGCUUUUAAUUGGGUUGCUUCUCCGCACGCACGCGCACCCCCUCCCUAGCUCUCUGCCUCCUCCCCACGAUCUCCUCCCACUGCCCACCUCCUUUCCUUCUUCCCCCAAGCCUUGCCCUCUAGGCUGCUCAGCCAAUCCAGGCUCCUCCUCUUUCCCCGGCGAGGCUGGGCGGUGCCCCUCAGCUACCCUCCUCUCCUUGGUUGUGCGGUCGCCGCUCGCUUUCCCGUUCCCAUCAUCCGAUCCGUCCCUCUCUGCUAUUAGUUCUCUCUUGAUGCGUAGGCGGAACGAGCUCUAGAAGAGGAAAGAGGAGGAGAAAAGUAAGGAUGAGAACGGAGGCAGGAGGUGGCACGACUGCGACGAGCUCCGCCUCCUGCUGUUAGGUUUGGGCUUCGCGCUGCUGGGCGUCCGUCAAGCCGAUCUCCUUCCUCACCCUAUUCGAUACCGACGGAUGCUUGGAGACGCGAAAUUUGGUUGGAAGUGGCCUGUUGUAGAUACAUUGGAUGGUACCAGGUUGAUUCCUUUUUCUUUCUUUCUUUCUUUCCUACUGUUCUGUCACUGAAUCUAUGGAUGCUUUGUCUUCUUCUAAGUUUUUUCUUUGAGAAUAUCUGAGUUUGUUUUGUGCUCAUACAGAAGCAGAUCGUGCUCUUUUACAGUAUUUCUGUUACUUCUGUGCGGGUAUUUGCUAUGAAUACAGGUGAUUCGUCUGUUAGUUCUUAUCAACUUAUCCUCCUCCUGAUUUGUCUGAUCGCUCUGUAACUUUUUGUUUCUGGAAUUGGUGCUUUUUUUAUCUCCAAAUUAUGCACAUAGGGUGUGAACCACGCUUCAAAAUUUUUUUGGCAUCAUAGGAGCUGACACACAUGUACGCAUGGGUAUUUGCCAGGCCUUUUCCAUUAAUGAAUCUACGUAUUAAAGCAAUACGGCCAAGCUUCUUUUUGAAUAAUUUCUCAUGUGCAUGAUUUUCACCACCACAGUGAAAGUAUUACACUCAGCAAACAGCAGGUAAAGAUAAUUGCUCCAACAUCAAAUUUCUCCCUCUCAACUCACGUGCGUGAUUUUCACCACCACAGUGAAAGUAUUACACUUAGCAAACAGCAGGUAAACAUAAUUGCUCCAACGUCAAAUUUCUCCCUCUCAACAAGUGAUUACAAUUAGGAAGCUGAAUGUCCCUAUGAUCCCUUUGAGGAUUUUCAUAAUUUAGGUUACACUUAAAUGGAAAUAACAUCAAGAAAAAAUGGUUAGUGUACAGUGCUAUUUUUGGUUCGCUCGUAUUGCAGGUUAUCGAUAGAUGACUGUAUGACCGCUGGAUUUAGGUUAAUAAGACCAAUUAAGUAAUUCACUAUAUUAUCUUGAGUAACUACAUGAUUUUAUAUAUUCAUAUCGUUUUCUAUUAGAAAACUUUUUGAACAGCGCUAUUUGAAUUUCAAGUUUACUUUGUAGCUUUCUGUACCUCUUUCAUCUCCGCAUCUAGGUAGAACGGGGGUUUGGUGCUACCUUUUAUGAGUCUGCUGCAAGGUACAAGUCUCAUACUUAUUCUAAUGAUGUUUUACCUCAAUUUUCUUGAUCCUCUUAUGUGCUAUGCUUUCCUAUUUAUUGUGAGAUGCUUAAUUGUAGGUGCUGUAUUCGCUGGUCUUGGAUAACGUACAAUUUCUCUGCCGGGGCCUUUGUUCAUCUCACCUUUGCGUUCUAGUGAUUCUAAACUAGCUAUUGUUAUUGGCUCUCCUAUUGGCCCCUUUUCCAUCCUGUUUGUUGAUCAUGCCGGGGAGUCUUCAGCUCUCAUUCUUCUGUGGAUACGGAUGCUCGGUGGCACACAAUUCGUCUUGGAAUAGUAAGCUUUUAAGUGAUGCUUAGUUUGGAGAACUCCAACCAAUCAAUAUUAAUUGCAGAAUAAGGUUUAAGUUCAAGGACUCGGCUAAAAAACCAGCAAUUGAUGGUUAUGGAUUCUCAGUGCUCAUGCCAUCUAUGAGAGAUGGAUCCCUGACAGACAUACUGAACUUAGUCUAGAUAGGAGAACCAUGUAAUCAGUACUCUGUUUUCUGUACCUUUCUACACAAGUUAUGUUCCCUGAAAUCGAUUAAAGACUAUCUUCUUCAGUUUUGUUCUCUGUACGGUUUGUUGUUGUAUGUGUCUACAGUCAAUAAAUAUAUCAGGAGUUACUCUUUUA